rnacentral:rRNA from 1 species
UACAGAGGGGGCAAGCGUUGUUCGGAUUCAUUGGGCGUAAAGGGUGCGUAGGCGGCGAGGCAAGUCUGGUGUGAAAUCCCGGGGCUCAACCCCGGAACUGCACUGGAUACUGCUUUGCUAGAGUACUGGAGAGGGAACUGGAAUUUACGGUGUAGCAGUGAAAUGCGUAGAUAUCGUAAGGAAGACCAGCGGCGAAGGCGAGUUCCUGGACAGUUACUGACGCUGAGGCACGAAGGCCAGGGGAGCAAACGGG